rnacentral:snoRNA from 1 species
UGAUGACAGUCUCCGGAAUCGCUGUACUGCCUUGAUGAAAGUACUUGUGAACCCUUUUCCAUCUGAUGACCGGGAGGCCUUCCC